rnacentral:tRNA from 1 species
AGCCCUGUGGUGUAGUGGCCAAUCAUAGCGGCCUUUGGACGCGCACGGAUGUCCGUUCGCGGAAGCUAGCCGCUGACGCUGGUUCGAAUCCAGCCGGGGCUA